rnacentral:rRNA from 1 species
AUUGAACGCUGGCGGCAGGCCUAACACAUGCAAGUCGAACGAGUGGCGGACGGGUGAGUAAUGUCUGGGAAACUGCCUGAUGGAGGGGGAUAACUACUGGAAACUGUAGCUAAUACCGCAUACCAUCGGAUGUGCCCAGGUGGGAUUAGCUAGUUGGUGGGGUAAAGGCUCACCAAGGCGACGAUCCCUAGCUGGUCUGAGAGGAUGACCAGCCACACUGGGACUGAGACACGGCCCAGACUCCUACGGGAGGCAGCAGUGGGGAAUAUUGCGCAAUGGGCGCAAGCCUGAUGCAGCCAUGCCGCGUGAAUGAAGAAGGCCUUCGGGUUGUAAAGUACUUUCAGUGGGGAGGCGUUAACCGCAGAAGAAGCACCGGCUAACUCCGUGCCAGCAGCCGCGGUAAUAC